GACGAAGGAUGCAAGCGUUAUCCGGAUUCAUUGGGUUUAAAGGGAGCGUAGGUGGCCUUAUAAGUCAGUGGUGAAAUCUCUCGGCUUAACCGAGAAAUUGCCAUUGAUACUGUAGGGCUUGAGUAUAGUUGCCGUUGGCGGAAUAUGACAUGUAGUGGUGAAAUACAUAGAGAUGUCAUAGAACACCGAUUGCGAAGGCAGCUGACGAAACUAUAACUGACACUGAGCUCGAAAGUGCGGGAUCAAACAGG
rnacentral:rRNA from 1 species